GGGGCGUAGCAAUACGCUCGCUGGCGACCGGCAAACGGGUGCGGAACACGUACACAACCUUCCUUAAAGUGGGGGAUAGCCCGGGGAAACCCGGAUUAAUACCCCGUAACAUAAUGAAGUGGCAUCGCUUUAUUAUUAUAGCAGCAAUGCGCUUAAAGAUGGGUGUGCGACUGAUUAGGCAGUUGGCGGGGUAACGGCCCACCAAACCUACGAUCAGUAACUGGUGUGAGAGCACGACCAGUCACACGGGCACUGAGACACGGGCCCGACUCCUACGGGAGGCAGCAGUAAGGAAUAUUGGUCAAUGGACGCAAGUCUGAACCAGCCAUGCCGCGUGGAGGAUGAAGGUCCUCUGGAUUGUAAACUUCUUUUACCUGGGAAGAAAUCCACAAAUUCUUUUGUGGUUGACGGUACCAGGUGAAUAAGCACCGGCUAACUCCGUGCCAGCAGCCGCGGUAAUACGGAGGGUGCAAGCGUUAUCCGGAUUCACUGGGUUUAAAGGGUGCGUAGGUGGGUUGGUAAGUCAGUGGUGAAAUCUCCAGGCUUAACUUGGAAACUGCCAUUGAUACUAUCAAUCUUGAAUACCGUGGAGGUCAGCGGAAUAUGUCAUGUAGCGGUGAAAUGCUUAGAGAUGACAUAGAACACCAAUUGCGAAGGCAGCUGGCUACGCGGAUAUUGACACUGAUGCACGAAAGCGUGGGGAUCAAACAGGAUUAGAUACCCUGGUAGUCCACGCCCUAAACGAUGGAUACUCGACAUACGCGAUAUACUGUGUGUGUCUGAGCGAAAGCAUUAAGUAU
rnacentral:rRNA from 1 species